UUAACCCUGCCCGGUGCGUGAUAAGGAACAAAGUCCUUGAACCGUAAAACAAACGUUGCGGAGCCUCUAUUUCGGUGUCUGCCGGCAAGCCUGCGCCUCGUGUCCAGGUAGCCGAAGGACGCAGAUCGGGUUCCACCUGUUCUCGAGCAGUUCAAAGGAACUGUUUUCACACGGCUGCGGCGGGGUUUUU
rnacentral:other from 1 species